ACGGGGGGAGCAAGCGUUGUUCGGAUUUACUGGGCGUAAAGGGCGCGUAGGCGGCCUCCGCAAGUCAGUUGUGAAAUCUCCGAGCUUAACUCGGAAAGGUCAACUGAUACUGCGGGGCUAGAGCGCGGAAGGGGCAACUGGAAUUCUCGGUGUAGCGGUGAAAUGCGUAGAUAUCGAGAGGAACACCUGCGGCGAAGGCGGGUUGCUGGGCUGACACUGACGCUGAGUGUGCGAAAGCGUGGGGAGCGAACAGGA
rnacentral:rRNA from 1 species